AGUUUGAUCCUGGCUCAGGAUGAACGCUGGCGGCGUGCUUAACACAUGCAAGUCGAGCGAAGCGAUAAGGUGAAAUUUUUCAGAAUGAAGCCAUAUUGACUUAGCGGCGGACGGGUGAGUAACGCGUGGGUAACCUGCCUCAUACAAGGGGAUAACAGUUAGAAAUGACUGCUAAUACCGCAUAAGCGCACGGGACUGCAUGGUCCAGUGUGAAAAACCGAGGUGGUAUGAGAUGGACCCGCGUCUGAUUAGCUGGUUGGCGGGGUAACGGCCCACCAAGGCGACGAUCAGUAGCCGACCUGAGAGGGUGGCCGGCCACAUUGGGACUGAGACACGGCCCAAACUCCUACGGGAGGCAGCAGUGGGGAAUAUUGCACAAUGGGGGAAACCCUGAUGCAGCAACGCCGCGUGAGUGAAGAAGUAUUUCGGUAUGUAAAGCUCUAUCAGCAGGGAAGAGAAUGACGGUACCUGACUAAGAAGCCCCGGCCAACUACGUG
rnacentral:rRNA from 1 species